GACGAACGCUGGCGGCGUGCUUAACACAUGCAAGUCGAACGGUAACACACUACCUUUCUGUUCUGCUUGAGUGGCGAACGGGUGAGUAACACGUGAGUAACCUGCCCUAGACUUUGGUAUAAGCUCUGGAAACUGCGUCUAAUACCGGAUAGGAGACCCCGCUGCAUGGCUAGUGUCUGAAAAUUUUUUCGGUUUGGGAUGGACUCGCGGCUUAUCAGCUUGUUGGUUGGGUAGUGGCUUACCAAGGCAAAGAAGGGUAGCCGGCCUGAGAGGGCGAACGGCCACAAUGGGACUGAGAGACGGACCAGACUCCUACGGGAGGCAGCAGUGGGGAAUAUUGCACAAUGGGCGAAAGCCUGAUGCAGAGACGCCGCGGGAGGGAUGACGGCCUGCGGGUUGUAAACCGCUGUCGGCAGAGAAGAAGCGAAAGUGACGGUACCGGAAGAAGAAGCACCGGCUAACUACGUG
rnacentral:rRNA from 1 species